rnacentral:rRNA from 1 species
UCUCUGUUUUACACAAUCUACACAAGCAGUCCUCAUAAGGAAUGCUGUGCCACGCACCCAAAUUAGUCAGUGUCAGAAGCUGAUUAAACCAUAAAAGCAUUAUAAAACGUCUUGUAUACUGAUUUUGUAUAUUUUCAAAAUAUGUGCAAAGUAUGUUAACAGGAAGGUAUUGUCUAGAAUAUUCAGCAUAUCUAGACUUUUUAAAUAAGUGGGCACAUCGAGCAUUUCUAAAUCAAAUGGCAGCUUUACUUUUUAUUUCCUAGCCAAAUUAUCAUUAACAUCACAUGUCCAUCCAAUAAUUUCCAGGAAGCAAUAAAUUACAUUCUUCCAGUCUUUUAAUCAAGAACGAAAGUCGGAGGUUCAAAGACCAGAUACCAUCCUAGUUCCGACCAUAAACGAUGCUGACUAGCGAUCCGGUGGCGUUAUUCCCAUGACCCGCCGAGCAGCUUCCGGGAAACCAAAGUCUUUGGGUUUCAUGGGGAGUAUGGUUGAAAAGCUGAAACUUAAAGGAAUUGAUGGAAGGGCACCACCAGGAGUGGAGCCUGUGGCUUAAUUUGACUCAUCCCAGGAAACCUCAUCCGGCCCGGACACAGAACGGAUUGACAGAUUGAUAGCUCUUUCUCGAUUCUGUGGGUGUUGGUGCAUGGCUGUUCUUAGUUGGUGGAGCGAAUUGUCCAGUUAAUUCCGAUAACGUACAAGACUCCUCCAUGCUAACCAACCCAAGCGGGCGGCAUUCAACUUCUUAGAGGGAGAAGUGGUGUUCAGCCACACGAGAUCGAGCAAUAACAGGUCUGUGAUGCCCUUAGAUGUCUGGGGCUGCACACGUGCUACACUGAAUGGAUCAACGUGUGUCUACCCUUCACCGAUUGGUGCGGGUAACCCGCUGAACCCCGUUCAUGAUAGGGAUUGGGGAUUGCAAUUAUUUCCCAUGAAAGAAGAAUUCCCAGUAGUAAGUGUGGGUCAUAAGCUUUCGUUGAUUAAGUCCCUGCACUUUGUACACACCGCCCAUCGCUACUACUGAUUGGAUGGUUUAGUGAGGUCCUCGGAUCAGCCCCGCCGGUGUCAGCAACGGCCCUGGUGGAGUGCCGAGAAGAUGAUCAAACAUGACUAUCUAAAGGAAGUAAAAGUUGUAACAAGGUUUCCGUAGGUGAAUCUGCGGAUG